UACGUAGGGUGCAAGCGUUAAUCGGAAUUACUGGGCGUAAAGCGUGCGCAGGCGGUUCGCUAAGACCGAUGUGAAAUCCCCGGGCUUAACCUGGGAAUGGCAUUGGUGACUGUACGGCUAGAGUGUGUCAGAGGGGGGUAGAAUUCCACGUGUAGCAGUGAAAUGCGUAGAGAUGUGGAGGAAUACCGAUGGCGAAGGCAGCCCCCUGGGAUAACACUGACGCUCAUGCACGAAAGCGUGGGGAGCAAACAGG
rnacentral:rRNA from 1 species